rnacentral:rRNA from 1 species
UACGAAGGGUGCAAGCGUUACUCGGAAUUACUGGGCGUAAAGCGUGCGUAGGUGGUGAGUUAAGUCUGUCGUGAAAGCCCCGGGCUCAACCUGGGAAUGGCGAUGGAUACUGGCUCGCUAGAGUGCGGUAGAGGAGAGUGGAAUUCCCGGUGUAGCAGUGAAAUGCGUAGAGAUCGGGAGGAACAUCAGUUGCGAAGGCGGCACUCUGGGCCAGUACUGACACUGAGGAGCGAAAACGUGGGUAGCGAACAGG